UACGUAGGGUGCGAGCGUUAAUCGGAAUUAUUGGGAGUAAAGUGUGCGGAGGCGGUUUGGUAAGAGAGAUGUGAAAUCCCCGGGCUUAACCUGGGAACUGCAUUGGUGACUGGCGGGCUAGAGUGUGGCAGAGGGGGGUAGAAUUCCACGUGUAGCAGUGAAAUGCGUAGAGAUGUGGAGGAACACCGAUGGCGAAGGCAGCCCCCUGGGCUAACACUGACGCUCAUGCACGAAAGCGUGGGGAGCAAACAGG
rnacentral:rRNA from 1 species